UAAGGAAUUUUAGACAAUAGGCGAAAGCCUGAUCCAGCAAUGCCGCGUGUGUGAAGAAGGCCUUCGGGUUGUAAAGCACUUUUGUCCGGAAAGAAAUCCUCUGGGUUAAUACCUCGGGGGGAUGACGGUACCGGAAGAAUAAGCACCGGCUAACUACGUGCCAGCAGCCGCGGUAAUACGUAGGGUGCAAGCGUUAAUCGGAAUUACUGGGCGUAAAGCGUGCGCAGGCGGUUUUGUAAGACGGAUGUGAAAUCCCCGGGCUUAACCUGGGAACUGCAUUCGUGACUGCAAGGCUAGAGUAUGGCAGAGGGGGGUAGAAUUCCACGUGUAGCAGUGAAAUGCGUAGAGAUGUGGAGGAAUACCGAUGGCGAAGGCAGCCCCCUGAGCCAAUACUGACGCUCAUGCACGAAAGCGUGGGGAGCAAACA
rnacentral:rRNA from 1 species